CACGGGGGGAGCAAGCGUUGUUCGGAAUCACUGGGCGUAAAGGGCGUCUAGGCGGUCAGAUAAGUGGGAUGUGAAAUGCCCCGGCUCACCCGGGGACCGGCAUCCCAAACUGUCUGGCUUGAGUAUGGGAGAGGAUGUGGGAAUUCCUGGUGUAGCGGUGAAAUGCGUAGAUAUCAGGAAGAACACCAAUGGCGAAGGCAGCUCUCUGGGACGGUACUGACGCUGAGACGCGAAAGCGUGGGGAGCGAACAGG
rnacentral:rRNA from 1 species